rnacentral:lncRNA from 1 species
AUGUGGAGGCUAUAUACAGGGGGUACCGGUACAGAGUCAAUGUGGAGGCUAUAUACAGGGGGGUACUGGUAUAGAGUCAAUGUGGAGGCUAUAUACAGGGGUACCGGUACCGAGUCAAUGUGGAGGCUAUAUACAGGGGGUACCAGUACAGAGUCAAUGUGGAGGCUAUAUACAGGGGGUACUGGUACAGAGUCAAUGUGGAGGCUAUAUACAGGGGGUACCGGUACAGAGUCAAUGUGGAGACUAUAUACAGGGGGUACCGGUACAGAGUCAAUGUGGAGGCUAUAUACAGAGGGUACCGGUACAGAGUCAAUGUGGAGACUAUAUACAGGGGGUACCGGUACAGAGUCAAUGUGGAGGCUAUAUACAGGGGGUACCGGUACAGAGUCAAUGUGGAGGCUAUAUACAGGGGGUACCGGCACAGAGUCAAUGUGGAGGCUAUAUACAGGGGGUACCAGUACAGAGUCAAUGUGGAGGCUAUAUACAGGGGGGUACCGGUACAGAGUCAAUGUGGAGGCUAUAUACAGGGGGUACCGGUACAGAGUCAAUGUGGAGACUAUAUACAGGGGGUACCGGUACAGAGUCAAUGUGGAGGCUAUAUACAGGGGUACCAGUACAGAGUCAAUGUGGAGACUAUAUACAGGGGGUACCGGUACAGAGUCAAUGUGGAGGCUAUAUACAGGGGGUACCGGUACAGAGUCAAUGUGGAGGCUAUAUACAGGGGGUACUGGCACAGAGUCAAUGUGGAGGCUAUAUACAGGGGGGUACCGGUACAGAGUCAAUGUGGAGGCUAUAUACAGGGGGGUACUGGUACAGAGUCAAUGUGGAGGCUAUAUACAAGGGGGUACUGGUACAGAGUCAAUGUGGAGGCUAUAUACAGGGGGUACCGGUACAGAGUCAAUGUGGAGACUAUAUACAGGGUGUUACGGUACAGAGUCGAUGUGGAGGCUAUAUACAGGGGGUACCGGUGCAGAGUCAAUGUGGAGGCUAUAUACAGGGGGUACCGGUACAGAGUCAAUGUGGAGGCUAUAUACAGGGGGUACCGGUACAGAGUCAAUGUGGAGGCUAUAUACAGGGGGUACUGGUACAAAGUCAAUGUGGAGGCUAUAUACAGGGGGGUACUGGUAUAGAGUCAAUGUGGAGGCUAUAUACAGGGGGUACUGGUACAGAGUCAAUGUGGAGGCUAUAUACAGGGUGUUACGGUACAGAGUCAAUGUGGAGGCUAUAUACAGAGGGUACUGGUACAGAGUCAAUGUGGAGGCUAUAUACAGGGGGUACCGGUACAGAGUCAAUGUGGAGGCUAUAUACAGGGGGUACCGGUACAGAGUCAACGUGGAGGCUAUAUACAGGGGGUACCGGUACAGAGUCAAUGUGCGGGGGCACCGGUUAGUUGAG